rnacentral:tRNA from 1 species
GCACCCAUCGUUCAACGGAUAGGACGUAAGCUUGCGGAGUUUAAAAUCCAGGUUCGAUUCCUGGUGGGUGCA